rnacentral:rRNA from 1 species
AGAACGCUGAAGGAGGAGCUUGCUUCUCUGGAUGAGUUGCGAACGGGUGAGUAACGCGUAGGUAACCUGCCUGGUAGCGGGGGAUAACUAUUGGAAACGAUAGCUAAUACCGCAUAAUAGCAGUUGUUGCAUGACAACUGUUUGAAAGGUGCAAAUGCAUCACUACCAGAUGGACCUGCGUUGUAUUAGCUAGUUGGUGGGGUAACGGCUCACCAAGGCGACGAUACAUAGCCGACCUGAGAGGGUGAUCGGCCACACUGGGACUGAGACACGGCCCAGACUCCUACGGGAGGCAGCAGUAGGGAAUCUUCGGCAAUGGACGGAAGUCUGACCGAGCAACGCCGCGUGAGUGAAGAAGGUUUUCGGAUCGUAAAGCUCUGUUGUAAGAGAAGAACGAGUGUGAGAGUGGAAAGUUCACACUGUGACGGUAACUUACCAGAAAGGGACGGCUAACUACGUGCCAGCAGCCGCGGUAAUACGUAGGUCCCGAGCGUUAUCCGGAUUUAUUGGGCGUAAAGCGAGCGCAGGCGGUUAGAUAAGUCUGAAGUUAAAGGCUGUGGCUUAACCAUAGUACGCUUUGGAAACUGUUUAACUUGAGUGCAGAAGGGGAGAGUGGAAUUCCAUGUGUAGCGGUGAAAUGCGUAGAUAUAUGGAGGAACACCGGUGGCGAAAGCGGCUCUCUGGUCUGUAACU